UACGGAGGAUCCGAGCGUUAUCCGGAUUUAUUGGGUUUAAAGGGUGCGCAGGCGGGAGAUUAAGUCGGCGGUGAAAUUUUGCAGCUCAACUGUAAAAGUGCCUUCGAAACUGGUUUCCUUGAGUGUAGAUGAAGUAGGCGGAAUUUGUGGUGUAGCGGUGAAAUGCUUAGAUAUGACGAGGAACUCCUAUUGCGAAGGCAGCUUGCUGGGUAGUUACUGACGCUGAUGCUCGAAGGUGCGGGGAUCAAACAGGAUUAGAUACCCCGGUAGU
rnacentral:rRNA from 1 species